AUCAAGAUUCUAAACUACACCUACUGGUUAUUGUGGGUAGGUUACCUAUAAACCAGGAAUGCAUACCAUGAUUGAUAAUUAUACUUGUAAACUGAUAGACAAUGAAGGUUGGUAGAACCACUUUUACCAAAAACAGAUACUUUUUGGGACACCUGGAUUUCAGCUGAAUUUUGAUUCCAGAACAGUUUGGAACAGGGUGCAAAAAUGGGCUAAUUG